rnacentral:sRNA from 9 species
AUGAAGUUUCUUUGUUGGCAAAAAUCAAUCCAUGGUUCUUAAAAACAAAUAUGGAGUGAAGUGUGAGAGGGCUAAUUAGUUGCUAAUUACUACUAAUUACAUCAUCCUUUACACUCUCCCUCCAUUUUUACAAAAACAGUUUGCUUUGUGCUUUAGCUAUUGGCUUCUCAUAUCAAAAAGGGAUGUGCUUUUUUCUGAGUAGCAGAAGCAAAUAAUUAAGCAUUUUUCUUCAAAGAUCAGAAGCUUUGGUUAUUGUAUGGCAAACCGGCAAGUCACAAAAAGGCAAUGGAUUCCUUUUUGGAGUCUU